GGAUGUGAGGGUGAUCUGGCUGCAACAUCUGUCACCCCAUUGAUUGCUAGGGUUGAUUCGGCUGAUCUGGCUGGCUAGGCAGGUGUCCCUUCUCCCUCACCACUCCAUGUGCGUCCCUCCGGAAGCUGCACGCUCGGUUGAAGAGGACGACCUUCCCCAAUAGAAGGAGGGCCGUCCUUCAGUCAAGGGUAUACGAGUAGCUGCGCUCCCCUGCUAGAACCUCCAAACAAGUCUCAAGGGUGACUUGUUUUGUCCAUUUCAAUGUUUUCCUUAGAAUAGGAUAAUAGGAGAGGUACUGAUCUACAUGAUCAACUCCCUUCAUGUGGGCAUUAUAUUGAUGUAUACACACAGGU
rnacentral:snRNA from 1 species